UACGAAGGGGACUAGCGUUGUUCGGAAUUACUGGGCGUAAAGCGCACGUAGGCGGAUUUGUAAGUCAGGGGUGAAAUCCCGGGGCUCAACCUCGGAACUGCCUUUGAUACUGCAAAUCUCGAGUCCGAUAGAGGUGGGUGGAAUUCCUAGUGUAGAGGUGAAAUUCGUAGAUAUUAGGAAGAACACCGGUGGCGAAGGCGGCCCACUGGAUCGGUACUGACGCUGAGGUGCGAAAGCGUGGG
rnacentral:rRNA from 1 species